rnacentral:rRNA from 1 species
AGUGAACGCUGGCGGCGUGCCUAACACAUGCAAGUCGAACGGUAACGCGGGGCAACCUGGCGACGAGUGGCGAACGGGUGAGUAACGCAUCGGAACGUGCCCAAUCGUGGGGGAUAACGUAGAGAAAUUUACGCUAAUACCGCAUGAGAUCUAAGGAUGAAAGCAGGGGAUCGCAAGACCUUGCGCGAUUGGAGCGGCUGAUGUCAGAUUAGGUAGUUGGUGGGGUAAAGGCCCACCAAGCCGACGAUCUGUAGCUGGUUUGAGAGAACGACCAGCCACACUGGGACUGAGACACGGCCCAGACUCCUACGGGAGGCAGCAGUGGGGAAUUUUGGACAAGGGGCGAAAGCCUGAUCCAGCAAUGCCGCGUGCAGGAAGAAGGCCUUCGGGUUGUAAACUGCUUUUGUACGGAACGAAAUAGCUCUGGUUAAUACCCGGAGUUGAUGACGGUACCGUAAGAAUAAGCACCGGCUAACUACGUGCCAGCAGCCGCCGUAA